AAAGACCAAAGAAAUCCUUAACGAUACUUUAUUACGAUACGAUACAGAUAUGAUGGAGCAGCAAAAUGAAUUGGAAUUCAUUCAAAAUAUCAAAGAGACGGAAGAAAAGGAACUAGAAAAUUACAAAAAAACAUGCGCGUCUCAAGAAAUAACCUACCAUCAAUUAAUGAAAGAAAAAGAAGACUAUCUCGAAGGAGAAAGACAAAAAAAACUAUACGAAAUCAGACUGAAAUUCGCAAAACGUACAAUAGUGAAAUUCGUCGAACAACAUUAUCCCGCCUGGAAAAAAAGAAAACUAAGAGCCAGCAAGAAAAAAGGAAAAUACAAGUAUAAUCCAAAAUCUGUCAAAUGAAACUCUUUACAACAAGAAUUAUCAUCAUUAAAAUGUACAACAUUUUUAAAAUAAUCAAUCAAUAAACAACCUUAUUUUCAAUAACAAA